rnacentral:tRNA from 3 species
AUUUAUAUAGUUUAAACAAAACCUUACACUUUCACUGUAAAAAUAAAGAUAUCUUUUAUAAAUA